rnacentral:rRNA from 1 species
UACGAACUGUGCGAACGUUAUUCGGAAUCACUGGGCUUACAGGGUGCGUAGGCGGCCCAACAAGUCAGGUGUGAAAGCCCUCGGCUCAACCGAGGAACUGCGCUUGAAACUGUUAGGCUCGAGUCAGCUAGAGGUACACGGAACUUCCAGUGGAGCGGUGAAAUGCGUAGAUAUCAUUUGGAACGCCAAUGGUGAAAACAGCUCGCUGGGGAUGUACUGACGCUGAGACACGAAAGCCAGGGGAGCAAACGGG